rnacentral:rRNA from 1 species
CAGGGAUUGCCUUAGUAACGGCGAGUGAAGCGGCAAUAGCUCAGAUUUGAAAUCUGCUUCUUUUAGAAGCCGAGUUGUAAUCUGUAGAGGAUGUUUCGGUGUUGGCUCUGGCCUAAGUUCCUUGGAACAGGACGUCACAGAGGGUGAGAAUCCCGUACGUGGCUGGUCUCCUUCACCAUGUGAAACUCCUUCGACGAGUCGAGUUGUUUGGGAAUGCAGCUCUAAACGGGAGGUAAAUUUCUUCUAAAGCUAAAUACCUGCCAGAGACCGAUAGCGCACAAGUAGAGUGAUCGAAAGAUGAAAAGCACUUUGGAAAGAGAGUUAAACAGCACGUGAAAUUGUUGAAAGGGAAGCGCUUGCAAUCAGACUUGUUUAUAUCGGCUUAUCCAAGCUUCUGGCUUGGUGCACUCCUUUAUAUACAGGCCAGCAUCAGUUCGGGCGGUUGGAUAAAGGCCCUAGGAAUGUAGCUCGCUCCGGUGAGUGUUAUAGCCUAGGGUGUAAUGCAGCCUGCCUGGACUGAGGUCCGCGCUUCGGCUAGGAUGCUGGCGUAAUGGUUGUAAGCGGCCCGUCUUGAAACACGGACCAAGGAGUCUAACAUCUAUGC